rnacentral:lncRNA from 1 species
UUCCUCUCUGGUUCCUUCCUCACAGGAACCCCCCUCCCCAGUGCACACACAGCUGCUGUGGGGCACUGCUUUUGCCUCCUCUUGUGUGGUAACCAUUUGGAACUGCUUUUAAUGGUGCUGUCGACAGUACUGAGGUUUCCAAAUGGUAAGAAUAAUUUCCAGAUAGUAACACAGUCAAGCAUAAGGAGACACACAAGAAUUGGCCUAGGUGUCUGCAAAGAGGGAGAGAGCACCAAAGGUUCUGAUGGGGGAAACACAAACUAAAUAUGAAUCAUAAAAGCUAUGCUUACCAGCCCAGGGCUAAGAACUUUGUGUGCAUCAUCUGAGUUAAUCCUUUCAGCAACCUAGAGAGGUGGGGGUUAUUAAGCCCUUUUUAUAGACGAGAAAAUGAAAGCACAAAAAGGCAGAGUAACCAGCCAAGUUCACAGAGCUGGGAUGUGGAGCUCCCUAAACUGGCCUCCCUGACUCCACUGCCCACUUCAUCUCCCAGUGUGAACCCUUGUUCCUCAGAGUGAGUGGGAGAGUUUGGGGUUGAUUGCUUGAGCGUGGUGUGGAAUGGCACAGUGAAUCUUAAGAGAAGCAAGCAAGCUGGGUUAGGUAAACUUAGCCCAGUGCCUGGCACUUGCUAGGCAUUCCAUAGAUAUUUGAGAUUUGGACUUUUGAACAGAGUUUCAGACAUAGGGUCAGAGUGUGUGGGGGUCUCAAGCAGGUCAGGAACCACAGUCAAGCCUCUACAUACACUUGAAUUUUCCCCAUGGCAGGAACCCACAUUGAAGGUUCACAGGUGUGUCCUAGCGCCGUCCUGGGGCUGUGGAGCAGCUGCCUCUCCAGUGCCCGGGGUUUGCCAUAAAUGCCGAAUCUCAGCCCCACCCUAAGGCACUGACUCAGAACCCACAUUUUAACAAGCCUCCCAGUGACCUGUGUGAGAGGCACUGCUCCAACUCAACAACCCUCCUGCAAGGGAGCAAGCCAGCAGUCAUCCUUCUACCCAGUACAGGGGAAAUUUCUUUUUCCUGUACUAGGCUUAGGGAAUAGCACUUUGGGGGGCUAACCCCUGGUGCUGCCCUAACCUCUUCCUCACAAAACCUUUCAUACAGCUGUGAGAGGCAAACUUCUCAGUUGUCAGCAUUUCCAGGAAGAAAGAACCCCUUGAGUGAUCUCCAUGUGACCUCGUCUGUCUCAGGUUCAUGAACAUGAAGGUGAGAGCAGCUCUUCCUCACAGCAUGACCAGGCAGUGACAAACACGCCACAUGGAAGGAAAUGAGUGAACAAUCCUCGCAUAUUCUGAAGUGAGUCAUUGGCCUUUCUUGUGGACUGGGUACUGGAUGAUUAAAUUUCUGGUUUCUGUUUCUUAUUUCAGAAUAUAUUGAUGAUGAACACAUAGCGUCCCCCAAAGUGCAAGGUGCUGGGGACAACAGAUCAGGUGGUCCUUUAAAACACUUUAUACAAAAAUAAUAUUAUACUGUUACCACCUUGGUAACACAGUAAAAAUAGAGGACAGGUAAGAUGCCUCUGUAAACACGGACUGCUGUGAUUUUGGUGACUAGUAGGGGGCAGAAACUCGAAAGUAGCUCCAGGGACGCUCACCUCUUGUGCUCCUAUCCCACUGUCCAUCUCCCAUCUGCUCUGGGCUCUCAGUGUGGAGUGGAGCUGAUAGUGGUCUCCACCACCAAGGCUCUGCCUCUUGCUUGAGCCCCUGAGCACCUACUCUUGGCACUCUGUGUGCUUUGCCCACUUAAUCCUCACGACAGCUCUUUGAGGCAGGUAUUAUUAUCCCUAUUUUAUAGAUGAGGAGAUUGAGGUGCAAAGAGAGGCUAAGUUGCCCAAGGUUGCAUGUCUAAAAAGUAUCAGAGGAUGAGAAUACAGAUCUGACCAGGAUUCUAAAGCCCACGUCAUUCCCUCCACACCUGGUAGCUUCAGCCUUGCCCAGCUCCUGGUGGAACUUCCGCUCCGGGAUCCUGAAAUGCCCUGCAUGAAUCAUCAAGGGACAAAAAGAGGAGACUUUCCAGGGACUGACGCCCUCCCAGCCACCGUGGGAUCCCGGCUACUGUGACUGAGCCCAGUCAUGACUCCAGAGUGCUUCACAUCACAUCAUUCUUUCUCAGCAUCCAAAAUAUGAAGGAACUGAACCUCAGAGAGAAGAGAUAACCCUGGUCGGCCAGUAAACUGUAGAGAUCCAAUUUGAAUUCUCCCCUCUGUCUGGCUCCGACACAUGGGGUUUUCUUAACUCACACUGUGUCACCUGCAGAGUGUUUCCCUUCGGGGGAGAGAAACCCAAAAUAGUGAAAACGAACAGAAAAAGUUUGAAGAGUUCUGCUUCGGCACUUGAAGCCAAUCUCCCUACAGUCUUCUUCCUGUUCAUGCUUCCAAGAUGCUAUCAGGGAGGCUGGGCGCUGGGGACAUUUACACUCCUUGCCUCCCCAACCCCAACCUCGAGGAUUUCUGUAGGGGUGAAAUCACCUCAUUAAAGCUGUACCUUGUUGCGGGGGCGGGGGUGGAUGGGCAGAAGAACUCAUGAGGUGAUCAUAUACCGGCCUCAGUGAUUCUCUCCUCCUCCCGGCCCCAUGUCUUGUUUUUAAACUCCAGCAAGGAAGAAUCUUCUUUCCCUCCAGCCAGCCUUUCAACCCACUGCUCAAACAAAGCAUUUUCUCUCAGAGGAUGAUUGCCAAGACCCACAGUUUAGUUCAUGUGGGAGUGGAGAGGGGCCAUAAAUAAUAAUAGCCAAGUUUACUGAGUGCUUAUUAUGUAAUAGCCAAGCACUGUUCCAGAGACAUUACAUAUAGACCCAUUUCACACACACAGGUGCACACACACACACACACAUACACACAGUACAAAUGAGGAAACAGACCCAGAGAGGUUGCCCGCCAUUUGCCAGCUCUUAUGAAGGGACUUGGACAGCCUGGCUCCCAGAUGCUGCCCUGCCUCUCAAAGAUCAUCUCCCCUGGCUACCCCACCCCAUUUUACAGGUAAGGCAAUGAGCCCAGGGAGGUGAGGGACUUGCCUGGCCAGUCAAGGGCAGAGCUAGUCAAGUUGUCAGAUCUUCUGACCAAAAAACCCAAGGCUUUUUCCUCCACCCUGGGGGCUCAGCACACCCAAGACUCCAGGAGUAUGCCAAUUGCACUUCACCCAGUUCAAAGUUUAGAUCCCCCCUAAUGCUUUAAACUAGAAAAUUCUUUUUUUUUCUUUUGAGACAGGGUCUAGCCUUGUUGCCCACGUUGGAGUGCAGUGGUGUAA